UGGGGAAUUUUGGACAAUGGGCGCAAGCCUGAUCCAGCCAUGCCGCGUGCGGGAAGAAGGCCUUCGGGUUGUAAACCGCUUUUGUCAGGGAAGAAAUCUUCUGAGUUAAUACCUCGGGAGGAUGACGGUACCUGAAGAAUAAGCACCGGCUAACUACGUGCCAGCAGCCGCGGUAAUACGUAGGGUGCAAGCGUUAAUCGGAAUUACUGGGCGUAAAGCGUGCGCAGGCGGUUUUGUAAGACAGAGGUGAAAUCCCCGGGCUCAACCUGGGAACUGCCUUUGUGACUGCAAGGCUUGAGUGCGGCAGAGGGGGGAUGGAAUUCCGCGUGUAGCAGUGAAAUGCGUAGAUAUGCGGAGGAACACCGAUGGCGAAGGCAAUCCCCUGGGCCUGCACUGACGCUCAUGCACGAAAGCGUGGGGAGCAAACAGGAUUAGAUA
rnacentral:rRNA from 1 species